rnacentral:lncRNA from 1 species
GGAAAGAGCUGGCUUGCGAGCUCCCUGCUUAACAGAAGGCUCAGUUGCCCAAGUGACGAAGGCAUUGUGGGGCACGAACCAGGCUUUGGUGAAUUUAUCUCAUUAUACACCAGGAGUUAUAAUUUAAAAACCAGUGUCAUAUAAAGAAGAAAAAAGAUAUGGUGAGAUACAAUACCAUUAACACUUCUUCAGAAACGGAUUUUAAAGCAGAACUUCCAUGACUGUGAAAUCCAACCGGGUGCGCGACCACGAGGAAGGAUGGCGAGGGAGGAAACCGCGCUUUGUUGUUGAGUCUUGAGGUGAGCCGGGUGCGCGACCACGAGGAAGGAUGGCGAGGGAGGA